rnacentral:ncRNA from 16 species
GCGUAACAUUCCGCACGAUUUAAUAACAAGAGGACAUACACUUUGGACAGUCAUAGUCGAUACCUAUUAUCUUUUUUCUAAAUCUCGUCUUGUCUUUCUAGCACUUAUCGGCGGGAUUACG